GAUGAAGAACGUAGCGAAAUGCGAUAAGUAAUGUGAAUUGCAGAAUUCAGUGAAUCAUCGAAUCUUUGAACGCACAUUGCGCCCGCCAGUAUUCUGGCGGGCAUGCCUGUUCGAGCGUCAUUACAACCCUCAGGCCCCCGGGCCUGGCGUUGGGGAUCGGCGGAGCCCCCCGUGGGCACACGCCGUCCCCCAAAUGCAGUGGCGGUCCCGCCGCAGCUUCCAUUGCGUAGUAGCUAACACCUCGCGACUGGAGAGCGGCGCGGCCACGCCGUAAAACACCCAACUCUUCUGAAGUUGACCUCGAAUCAGGUAGGAAUACCCGCUGAACUUAAGCAUAUCAAUAAGCGGAGGA
rnacentral:misc_RNA from 1 species